AUUGAACGCUGGCGGUAUGCUUAACACAUGCAAGUCGAACGGUAACAGGCCUUCGGGCGCUGACGAGUGGCGGACGGGUGCGUAACGCGUAGGAAUCUGCCUAUUAGUGGGGGACAACGUGGGGAAACUCACGCUAAUACCGCAUACGCCCUACGGGGGAAAGGAGGGAUCUUCGGACCUUUCGCUAAUAGAUGAGCCUGCGUUGGAUUAGCUAGUUGGUAGGGUAAAGGCCUACCAAGGCGACGAUCCAUAGCUGGUCUGAGAGGACGAUCAGCCACACUGGGACUGAGACACGGCCCAGACUCCUACGGGAGGCAG
rnacentral:rRNA from 1 species